rnacentral:lncRNA from 1 species
ACCAUUCCUCUAAUGGCGUUCACCAUUAUCGCGCAGUAACAAAACUGCGCUAGUGGGCAGUUCUGGACCGUUUUUUAUCCUCUAUUUCCCCUCCACUCUCCAUGCACGAUACAAGCAAGUAACCAGGUCUCAAAACCUCUAUAAAUAGGAUUGUGGAGACUUUUGAAGGUAUCCAAGUUGUAUGGAAGCGCUGCCGAAAUUGCGUUUUAGAAUUUAAGCAUAAAUUACCUGUAAAAGUGACAAUAACUCACAUCGAGGGAUUAUCACACCUGUUCUAG